GAUGAACGCUGGCGGCGUGCCUAAUACAUGCAAGUCGAGCGAACGGACUAGAAUCUUGCUUCUCUGAUGUUAGCGGCGGACGGGUGAGUAACACGUGGAUAACCUCCCUUUAAUACUGGGAUCUCUUCGGGAAACCGGCGCUAAUACCGGAUAAUAUUUUGCACCGCAUGGUUCAAAAGUGAAAGACGGUCUUGCUGUCACUUAUAGAUGGAUCCGCGCUGCAUUAGCUAGUUGGUAAGGUAACGGCUUACCAAGGCAACGAUGCAUAGCCGACCUGAGAGGGGGAUAGGCCACACGGGAAGUGAGACAGGGUCAAGACUCCUAAGGGAGGCAGCAGUAGGGAAUCUUACGCAAUGGGGGAAAGCCUGACGGAGCAAAGCGGAGUGAGUGAUGAAGGUGUGCGGAUCGGAAAACUCUGUUAGUAGGGAAGAACAUAUGUGUAAGUAAAUGUGCACAUAGUGACGGUACCUAAUCAGAAAGCCACGGCUAACUACGUG
rnacentral:rRNA from 1 species